UACAGGGGGUGCAACCGUUGCCCGGAAUCAUUGGGCGUAAAGCGCACGUAGGCGGUUCGUUAUGUCGGAUGUGAAAGCCCUUGGCUUAACCGAGGAAGUGCAUCCGAAACUGGCGAGCUAGAGUACGAAAGAGCAUCGCGGAAUUCCCGGUGUAGAGGUGAAAUUCGUAGAUAUCGGGAGGAACACCGGUGGCGAAGGCGGCGAUCUGGGUCGAUACUGACGCUGAGGUGCGAAAGCGUGGGGAGCAAACAGG
rnacentral:rRNA from 1 species